GUAAGUUGGUAGCAUAAUAAACCUGAGAAAUCUUGAGUGGAAUAGAUCAAACAAUACAUAAGCUCUGGGAGUUUUCAAAAGGGAACAGUCAGCUCUUAGAUUCUUGAUCAAAAUGCACAGGACUAAGUGAGCGAGGGAUGAAAGUUAUAUAAGGGGUAAUUAACAUAAAGUCAAUCCACAUAUUGAUGUCUAUAAAUUCCAAGCUAGGAGUAUUCAACUCUUCUCGGGCAUUGCUAUACCUAAUCCAUGCAGAAACAACCCAUCCUUAGAAGGUGCUUUGGCAAGAAGAUUGGCAAGAAAAAAAUGGUUGAUAGCAUAGCAAAAAGAUGGAAACAUCUUAGUGGUCAAAAUAAUUGGAAGGACCUAUUGGAUCCUCUGGAUAUUGAUCUCCGGCGAUACAUCAUUCACUAUGGCGAAAUGGCUCAAGCUACUUAUGAUGCUUUCAAUACCCAGAAAGCAUCAAAAUAUGCUGGAAGCAGCCUAUAUGCCAAGGCUGAUUUUUUCCCCAAGGUUGGUUUAGAGAAAGGCAAUCCGUACAAGUACUCCGUGACCAAAUUUUUCUAUGCAACAUCAGAAAUCCCACUUCCUGAGGCAUUUAUCAUCAAGUCUUUGUCAAGGGAGGCUUGGAGCAAGGAAUCCAAUUGGAUAGGGUAUGUUGCGGUGGCCACCGACGAAGGGAAGGCCUUGCUAGGGAGGAGGGAUAUUGUGAUUGCUUGGAGAGGUACGGUGCAGACCUUGGAGUGGGUUAAUGAUUUUGAGUUUCUUUUAGUCUCAGCUUCAAAAAUACUUAGAAAUUCCGGUGAUCCUAAGGUGCACCAAGGUUGGUACUCCGUCUACACUUCUGAUGAUCCUCGGUCGCCUUUUAAUAAAAGCAGUGCUAGAGACCAGGUUCUUAAGGAGGUCAGGAGACUUGUGGAACAAUACAAGAAUGAAGAAAUCAGCAUAACGGUAUGUGGGCACAGCUUAGGAGCUGCACUUGCAACAUUAAAUGCGGUUGAUAUAGUUGCCAAUGGAUUUAACAAGUCCAAAUCCUUACCAAACAAAGCCUGUCUUGUCACAGCCAUUGUGUUUGCCAGCCCUCGUGUCGGCGAUUCAGACUUCAAGAAGGCAUUCUCUGGACAUAAAGAUCUUCGAAUGUUACGCAUUCGUAAUACCCUGGAUGUUGUUCCUAAUUAUCCAUUGAUAGGGUAUGCAGAUGUGGGAGAAGAAUUGAUAAUUGAUACCACAAAAUCCAAGUACCUGAAGAGCCCUGGAAAUGUGUCAAGUUGGCAUAAUUUGGAGGCCUACAUGCAUGGAGUUGCAGGAACACAAGGAUCCAAAGGAGGGUUUAACUUAGAGGUUAAUCGAGACAUUGCUCUUGUUAACAAAUCCUCAGAUGGCUUGAAAGAUGAGUAUCUUAUACCAGUUUCAUGGCGAAUUCAAAAGAACAAGGGCAUGGUGCAGCAACCAAAUGGUUCCUGGAAGUUGAUGGAUCAUGAAGAGGAUAAUGUUUCAGAUAUUUAGCUUGAAUUAAUGAUCAUUUUAUCAAUUUGGUCAGAUAUUAAUUGAGUGAACUAGAUAUCUUG
rnacentral:misc_RNA from 1 species